rnacentral:rRNA from 1 species
GACGAACGCUGGCGGCGUGCCUAAUACAUGCGAGUUGAGCGCUGAAGGUUGGUACUUGUACCGACUGGAUGAGCAGCGAACGGGUGAGUAACGCGUGGGGAAUCUGCCUUUGAGCGGGGGACAACAUUUGGAAACGAAUGCUAAUACCGCAUAAAAACUUUAAACACAAGUUUUAAGUUUGAAAGAUGCAAUUGCAUCACUCAAAGAUGAUCCCGCGUUGUAUUAGCUAGUUGGUGAGGUAAAGGCUCACCAAGGCGAUGAUACAUAGCCGACCUGAGAGGGUGAUCGGCCACAUUGGGACUGAGACACGGCCCAAACUCCUACGGGAGGCAGCAGUAGGGAAUCUUCGGCAAUGGACGAAAGUCUGACCGAGCAACGCCGCGUGAGUGAAGAAGGGUUUCGGAUCGUAAAACUCUGUUGGUAGAGAAGAACGUUGGUGAGAGUGGAAAGCUCAUCAAGUGACGGUAACUACACAGAAAGGGACGGCUAACUACGUG